UAUUUGAUUUCAGAGGACACCCUUCCUGAAAACCUUGCUGGGUGCGACUGCGCCAUAUGUGACCCUUCAGUGAAAUGAGAUUCCAGGCGGAAUGUCAAACCGGUACUACUCCGGUCUCCAGCAAUAGCCUCAGCCUUGGACGCAGCUUAUCGUGUUAAGUGUUUGGCAGUACCAAGCCUAGUCGACGCAGCAGCAAAAACAACAGUAGCAGUCUAGUCAAGGGUCACCCCACAACGUUGAGUGCCUAGCGAUGAAAUCAUCCACCGUUACAUGUAGUUGAAAACCUGGGUUGCAGAGCAAUGAGUAUGUCCCAGGAGCAUUUGCAGUCAUCGUCUGCAGAUUAUGAGAUCCCCAUGCUCCACAACCCUCAGUCUAUGAACAUCAUGCAGAGCGAACCUUGGACGUACCUUGACGAAAUCAAACCAGCAAAUCAGAAGGACAGCCUGCUGCUACCGUUGUUAUCAUAUUAACCCCAUACCGAAAAAGCUCCGAGAUAUAAAGGCUGUUUAAAAUGUGCUUGUCUCUACAUACCCCGUGUCUGGUGUGAACAUGUACAAUUGAAUGUCUCUACAUACUCCAUGUCUGCUGUGAACAUGUACAAUUGAAUGUCUCUACAUACUCCAUGUCUGGUGUGAACAUGUACAAUUGAAGGUCUCUACAUACUCCAUGUCUGGUGUGAACAUGUACAAUUGAAGGUCUCUACAUACCCCAUGUCUGAUGUGAACAUGUACAAUUGAAGGUCUCUACAUACCCCAUGUCUGGUGUGAACAUGUACAAUUGAAGGUCUCUACAUACUCCAUGUCUGGUGUGAACAUGUACAAUUGAAGGUCUCUACAUACCUCAUGUCUGGUGUGAACAUGUACAAUUGAAGGUCUCUACAUACCCCAUGUCUGGUGUGAACAUGUACAAUUGAAGAUCUCUACAUACCCCAUGUCUGAUGUGAACAUGUACAAUUGAAGGUCUCUACAUACCCCAUGUCUGGUGUGAACAUGUACAAUUGAAGGUCUCUACAUACCUCAUGUCUGGUGUGAACAUGUACAAUUGAAGGUCUCUACAUACCCCAUGUCUGAUGUGAACAUGUACAAUUGAAGGUCUCUACAUACCCCAUGUCUGGUGUGAACAUGUGCAAUUGAAGGUCUCUACAUACUCCAUGUCUGGUGUGAACAUGUACAAUUGAAGGUCUCUACAUACCUCAUGUCUGGUGUGAACAUGUACAAUUGAAGGUCUCUACAUACCCCAUGUCUGGUGUGAACAUGUACAAUUGAAGGUAUCUACAUACCCAAUGUCUGGUGUGAACAUGUACAAUUGAAGGUCUCUACAUACCCCAUGUCUGGUGUGAACAUGUACAAUUGAAGGUCUCUACAUACCCCAUGUCUGGUGUGAACAUGUACAAUUGAAGGUCUCUACAUACCCCAUGUCUGGUGUGAACAUGUACAAUUGAAGAUCUCUACAUACCCAAUGUCUGGUGUGAACAUGUACAAUUGAAGGUCUCUACAUACCCAAUGUCUGGUGUGAACAUGUACAAUUGAAGGUCUCUACAUACCCCAUGUCGGGUGUGAACAUGUACAAUUGAAGGUCUCUACAUACCCCAUGUCGGGUGUGAACAUGUACAAUUGAAGGUCUCUACAUACUCCAUGUCUGGUGUGAACAUGUACAAUUGAAGGUCUCUGCAUACUCCAUGUCUGGUGUGAACAUGUACAAUUGAAGGUCUCUACAUACCCCAUGUCGGGUGUGAACAUGUACAAUUGAAGGUCUCUGCAUACUCCAUGUCUGGUGUGAACAUGUACAAUUGAAGGUCUCUACAUACCCCAUGUCUGGUGUGAACAUGUACAAUUGAAUGUCUCAUCUUUGGAAUUGGGACACGUGGAAAAUUAGUGAUUUGAUUCAGACAGAAAUCGCAUAGUGACAAAUCACAACAAAAAAUGGAAAGCAAGAAAGUCUUGUGGCCAGCAAUGUUUUUAUGUGACCACUAAGUUGUGUUCAAAGAAAAACAAUAGUUCAUGUUUUAUUGGAACUAUGAUGCUGUCAGUCAUUUUAUGUUGAAGGCUUUAAAUAACUAUAUUUAAAUAUAAUAAGAUUAAGAUUACUUGAUAAAAGAAAUAAUGUUAUAUAGUAUUUUAAGCGCAAAAUUUACAAGUCUAUCCAAUUACUGUGUCUGUAUUAUGACAUUUUAUUUUGGAAAUGUUAAGGAAAAUAUAAUGUUAGUAAAUAUAUGUCUGAAUGUUGAUUUUGACAUUUGUCAAAGCUGUUUAAAUGAUGCUGGUAACUUCGACAAAAUUUAAAGAAAUGUAUUAUUUUCAUGUAAUGAGACAUGCUUCAGUUUUUUGUGGCUUAACCUGUAAUAUAGAGGUGGUAGUUACAAGAAUUGUUUAGCCAGAUGGAGAAUGUUUAUGCUAUGGCUUUGAUACUCUUAAGUGUGCCCAUUGGUGUCAGGUUUUUAUCAAGAAUAUUGUUUAUUGUCUAACAAUUUCUUGAAAAUAUUGCUUAAUUUUAGACAAAAUCAUUUAAUCUUCCUUAAAUUGUCUAUUCUGUAUUCACGACCAGUUAUUUAUUAAUUUGCAUGAAUAUGAUUUAUGAAUGACUUUUGUGUUGCUUAAAAUGCUGUAUUUGUUUUGGAACUGAGUAUUUAAAAACGAAAAUAUGAGGUGUAGGAAAAAUGGCCAAAGUUAUGAUAAUUAUUUUUUUGUUUUUGUAAAGUUUAUUAUGCUUUAUAUGUUUGUGUAUAGGCAUUUAGACGACCAGAUUAACUUGACCAAUAAUUCGUGCUCACUGUAUAUAUCGGUCAGUACAUUAGUCACUUGUAUAUAUAGCGAUUGUGAAAUGAUUGUAUUUGCAAUGUAAAUCAUGCGUUUAUUGUUGCCAUUUUGAUUUUCGCUGUUAACAUUUAUUUGUAAUAACAAUUUUCAUCAUGUACAUCUUUUAGGUGCCAGAUAAUAUAAAAAAACAUUGCUUGUGGGAAUGCUCAUUUAAAACUUUCUUAAUGAUACAGAACAACACAUUUUGAAGAGGCAAAUAUCCUUUAGACAAGAGGAACAUCUUGUUACUAGUACAUGUAAUGCCUUUCACUAAAUAAAGUCAAGCAACUAUUGAAAGAUUGGUUUAACUUUAUUUUGCAUUAUUUUAAGAAAAAUUAAUAUAUUCAACUUGGAAAUCAGUCAAUUGCAAAUCAAGCGAGAGUGAUGAAUAUUUUUAAGCAAGAUAGAGGGAUGUUUUUGCUUGAAAAAAAGUUGUAUCCCUUGUUAGAUAAUGAUUUUGUUCAUCUCUCAACAUAACAAGUGCAUUCAUACAGCUAUCAAAAAUAUGACACACUUAAUACUCAGCCAUCAGUUUGUAUUGGGGUUUUGUGGAAUACUUACUAAACUAAUAUACGUCUGUUCAAUGAAUUAAUAGCUAUGGUACAAUAUGAUACUCAGUGUUAAAAAACAUGUGUAAUAAAAAUAUAAUGGCAUUUAUUUGAAAUCAUAAAAUUUAGUUUUCCAUACAAUGCUUACAGUUUUGCAAUUGCGACGAUAAAGGAAAUUUUCUGCUCAAAAAAAUGUCUGUUAAAGACAUGUGUAUAUUGUAGCAAUUAUAUUGUACUUGUAUUUAUAUUAUACAUGAUAAUAAUUGACUUAUGGCUGAUGAUAGCGGCAGUUUACUAUUUGUGUAACAGUUUGGCCAUAUUUCCUUAAACAUGUGAUUGUUUAUAAUGAACUGUAAUUGAAUGCAUGAAACAUUGUUGUUCUGUUGCUUAACAGCUGAAAAUAGCUUGAUGUUUGUUAAUUGUGUGAAAUGUUUCAAAUUAAUCAUAUUGAUACAUAGAAAAUAAAAUUACAUUUUG